rnacentral:misc_RNA from 1 species
GGUGGCUACCCCCAGCGGGGUACCAUCCUCGUGUUUCUUAGGUUGUGUCCUUUAUAAGGUCUGCUGGGUGCUUCCUUUUUAGUCUUCUGUCCAUGUUUACGGUUUUGUACGUUUCCGCAGCUAGCCAGUUUGGGUGUGUCGCUAUUCUUGAUUUGUAUUUUUCUGAGUCAGUUCGCUGGUGAGUGCCGAGACGUGCAGACGCGUGUCCAGUGCCCUGUGAAGUUCACAAAACUCCACGUGACGCCCAUCUGUCGAAAGCGAAUCCAACUAACCUAGCUAAGGGUUAACAGCCUCUCGACUAGUUCUUUCACACUGAAUUAACU